rnacentral:rRNA from 1 species
UACGUAGGGACCGAGCGUUGUCCGGAAUCAUUGGGCGUAAAGAGCGUGUAGGCGGCCACUUAAGUCCUGCGUGAAAUCCUGCGGCUCAACCUGGGAACGGCGCGCGAAACGGGGGGGCUGGAGUUCGGGAGAGGAGCGUGGAAUUCCCAGUGUAGAGGUGAAAUGCGCAGAUAUCAGGAGGAACACCGGUGGCGAAGGCGGGUCUCUGGGCCGAUACUGACGCUGAGGAGCAAAAGCGUGGGGAGCGAACAGG